rnacentral:rRNA from 1 species
CGUAGGGUGCAAGCGUUAAUCGGAAUUACUGGGCGUAAAGCGUGCGCAGGCGGUUUUGUAAGACAGGCGUGAAAUCCCCGGGCUCAACCUGGGAAUGGCGCUUGUGACUGCAAAGCUGGAGUGCGGCAGAGGGGGAUGGAAUUCCGCGUGUAGCAGUGAAAUGCGUAGAUAUGCGGAGGAACACCGAUGGCGAAGGCAAUCCCCUGGGCCUGCACUGACGCUCAUGCACGAAAGCGUGGGAGCAAACAGGAUU